rnacentral:tRNA from 1 species
ACCUCCUUUCUAAGGAUGGAUCGGAUAGCCUGCGAGCUUUGCUCGCCUUUGAGCGCUUCCAAUCCUUCUAAGAAACAUGCCGUCGUCCUCAUGUCCCUUCAUCACUGGAGAUUGCCACAGCUUAUGUUGUGGUAUCUGCCUGAGCCGGCUUGGCUGCCUGAUGCGGCAUAUUGCCGCAAGGCUACGAUGGGCCGGUAGCUCAGGUGGUUAGAGCGCACGCCUGAUAAGCGUGAGGUCGCAAGUUCAACUCUUGCUCGGCCCACCAUCUCUCUUUUGUAGUGAGAAGCUUUUAAGGGGCCUUAGCUCAGCUGGGAGAGCACCUGCUUUGCAAGCAGGGGGUCAUCGGUUCGAUCCCGAUAGGCUCCACCAGUUUUACCGGUGCGGGCAUAGACCGCACAAAACAGUCCUGGGGACUGUUUUGAGGUAAAACUCCCGAGCGAUAGCGACGGGUCGAGGGUGGAUAAGACGUGCAGCGUGGUGUUGAGCGCCUUUGGCGUUCCGCUUCGUAGAGAUAUCUCCAGAUGAUGAAGACACGAAAUCCGGUUCGCAAGAGCCGGUAAGUGCGCGGGAGCGAUCCUGUGCUGCUUCUUUGACAUUGUGAAUGGGUUUUUAAUCGAUGCCGUGACGCAUCGUGCGCACUGACUACGGUCGGGGUGUGCGUUAUGCGUUAUUACAGAUGUCAAAUCUGGCUGAGAUUACUGUCUGCACCUAGCACGACACAGGCAUUAUGCAGGUCUGAUGUUGAUGGUGUGGAUUCUCAAGCGUGAGGUAAGAGCAUUU